AAUUGGUCACUGUGCUUCUGUUACCAGUUCACACAGAGACAGCAAGGUGGGUAGCUGUGUUGACUCUUAAUCUCUCACCAAUCAAUCCAAGUAACAUUUUACAAACCUGGAUUAUCAAAAGAGAAAAUUAGUCAACCUAGAUGACCAUGUCACAAAAAAUGAAAAGUGGUAAUAUUGAAAAUGAAAGUAGGAUCAGAGGUAACAGAGUCCUAGAAGAAAUAGCUGACCAUGGAAUGUUGAUGCUGCCACUCUUCUUGAGAUUCUAGAUGUGCAGCCAGAGGAGCUUAGUGAAGGCAAACUUACUGACAAAAGAAGAAUGUGAUUGUGAUGAAAAGGAUGAACAUGCUGACAAAACAAAACAAAAGAAAACAACUUCACAGAUAAUUCAUGGCAUCGAAAAUGCAAAGGAUAAAAUGUCAGAAGCUGAUCCAAACUGAGAAAAGAGCAUGAAAAUUUGCCAAGGCAUAGAGAACAUGAGCUCUUCAUAGUAGAAGCUAUACAAAAAGAACAAAGACCAAGACUGAAAUUGGCCUGCAGAUCAAAGACCAUGGCAAAAAAUUCCUGACAUUGGAAACUGCCUUCCAAAACAUCCCUGUGCCUCAUCCCUUUCUACACAUUCCAUAUAAAGAGAUUGUUUCAUUUUCCACCUGGCAA